rnacentral:rRNA from 1 species
AGAGGGGGAUAACGUUUGGAAACGAACGCUAAUACCGCAUGAUAUUAUUGAGCUGCAUGGCUUGAUAAUCAAAGGAGCAAUCCGCUGAAAGAUGGGCUCGCGUCCGAUUAGGUAGUUGGCGGGGCAACGGCCCACCAAGCCGACGAUCGGUAGCCGGACUGAGAGGUUGAACGGCCACAUUGGGACUGAGACACGGCCCAGACUCCUACGGGAGGCAGCAGUGAGGGAUAUUGGUCAAUGGGGGAAACCCUGAACCAGCAACGCCGCGUGAGGGAAGACGGUUUUCGGAUUGUAAACCUCUGUCCUCUGUGAAGAUGAUGACGGUAGCAGAGGAGGAAGCUCCGGCUAACUACGUGCCAGCAGCCGCGGUAAUACGUAGGGAGCAAGCGUUGUCCGGAUUUACUGGGUGUAAAGGGUGCGUAGGCGGCUUCGCAAGUCAGAAGUGAAAUCCAUGGGCUCAACCCAUGAACUGCUUUUGAAACUGCAGAGCCUGAGUGGAGUAGAGGUAGGCGGAAUUCCCGGUGUAGCGGUGAAAUGCGUAGAGAUCGGGAGGAACACCAGUGGCGAAGGCGGCCUGCUGGGCUCUAACUGACGCUGAGGCACGAAAGCGUGGGUAGCAGACAGGAUUAGAUACCCUGGUAGUCCACGCUGUAAACGAUGAUUACUAGGUGUGGGUGGACUGACCCCAUCCGUGCCGGAGUUA